CAUGGUGACUCGUCGUAGGGCUUUCUUCCUGUGUGUAUCCGUUAUUGCAGCGAGUUUCCUAGAGGGACCUGUCUAGCAUUACCAUGAAAUAGUUGGUAUUCUUGGUCAGAUUUAUCUGUGGAAAGUGUCACACGUAAUGACCAGCAUGUUGGAGCGGUUUUUGCUGCUGUACUGGCGGUGUCUUGGAUUCAUCAGCGCUGGUCGAACUGCACCGAUUUCCUCAGCUAUAAUUCUUCCAUAAGGAGAUCUGUUUACCUUUCUAUAAUUGUCCCUGAAACCCAAGGCUUCGUGUAGGUGGUUACAGGAACAUGUGCAAACACAUUCUACAUCUCAAGAUAUGUUGCUGGAAGCGUUCAAUAAAUGCGGUGCCCACGCUCCAAGUUCACUUGUAAUCCUGCGGAGUCCGAUGUGGCCCCAUGGAGAAAGUAGGGGCUGAAGAGCUGUGUUUCACCUUUCGACUAUCCGCUCUCCGUGCCACGGCCACCACGCACACCUACAGGAUUACGCUACCCCUGGCUGGCCUCUAAUCGAAGUUUGAUGCCACCACCAGCUCCACGUGCUCCACAAUCAUCAUCGCCACGGCAAUGCACGCGUGGUCACCGCCACCGGGAAAUUAGUCGGUGCGACCAGUGGGGGGGGGUGAGGCCACGAGAUACCAAGCGCUAUCUACAGAUAUACCCCCGUCAGCGUUUAUGUUGAAGAACGGAGUUCAUGUUCUUACUACCAUGGCACUUGUGGAUACAGGCGCGACAAUCACAGUGAUGAGUGUUAACUUUAAGAGCCUUCUCAGACCUAAAGUGAUGUUUUACCUGAGCUGUGGUGUGACAUUUCGUGGUGUGAGUGGCGACGCGUUUUGUCUUGUGGGAAUUUGUAUUGAGGGCGUGUCCUUGUGUGGCAAGGUGUUUUGUACGGAAUUUGCAGUAAUUGCACGGUCUACACAUGACGUUGUUUUGGGUAUCGAUUUCUUGCAUGCGUGUGGGGCAACUAGUGACUGCAGAAGUGGGAACCUUCCAGUGCGCGUUAGUUUUCCAGCUACUCUCAGAGAAUUCCUGUUGUGAUAAAUGCGCCCUUUUUUUCUCCGAGCACAAAGUAGUUGCUGUAUCUUCUGCCGUGUGUGUUCCCGUGACUUGCUCUGGUGACGAUCUUGCCACGUUUGAUGCCGCGCUCAAACCGAUUCAUUUGGCCUGUCUGAAAAAGAACGUCCUAAUUCCCCAUUGCGUGGUGUGUGUAGUUGAUGGAUGCGCAGGUGUGUGGACAAUCAACAGUUCAAUGGAGCGUGCAGCUUUGCCAGGUGGCAUGAAACUUGCAGUAUUCAAACCUGAACUGCCUACGACGCUGGUUGCACUUGUUGAUGCUACCGGCGAGAAUGGACAUUUAGGUUCACAAGGUUCCGAGGAUUCACAAUUGUUAAAAAUGAUCAUCAAGUCAUUUGGUUGAAGCGAAUAUCAUACACUGCUCGACGUUUACUCUGAGCUCUUGAAAGUGUUCGUUUUUUCUAAAAGCAGCCAAAUGCCUUCAGUCAGCUACAUUUUUUUUUCUUGUUUUUCCAACAGUAUUUAUGUCAUGUAACCUUGUGACCCGUGGUUACCUAUUGUUAUCCCCCCCCCCUUUAUGUAAUGCCCCAUAAGGGGCCCUUAAGGGUAAAUAAAUGAUGAU
rnacentral:lncRNA from 1 species